rnacentral:rRNA from 1 species
CCUACGGGAGGCAGCAGUGAGGAAUAUUGGUCAAUGGACGAGAGUCUGAACCAGCCAAGUAGCGUGAAGGAUGACUGCCCUAUGGGUUGUAAACUUCUUUUAUAUGGGAAUAAAAUGUUCCACGUGUGGGCUUUUGUAUGUACCAUAUGAAUAAGGAUCGGCUAACUCCGUGCCAGCAGCCGCGGUAAUACGGAGGAUCCGAGCGUUAUCCGGAUUUAUUGGGUUUAAAGGGAGCGUAGGUGGAUUUUUAAGUCAGUUGUGAAAGUUUGCGGCUCAACCGUAAAAUUGCAGUUGAAACUGGCAGUCUUGAGUACAGUAGAGGUGGGCGGAAUGCGCGGUGUAGCGGUGAAAUGCUUAGAUAUCACGAAGAACUCCGAUUGCGAAGGCAGCUCACUGGACUGCAACUGACACUGAGGCUCGAAAGUGUGGGUAUCAAACAGGAUUAGAUACCCUGGUAGUC